UAGGGAAUAUUGGGCAAUGGAGGCAACUCUGACCCAGCCAUGCCGCGUGCAGGAAGAAGGCCCUCUGGGUUGUAAACUGCUUUUGGACGGGGACAAAAGGCCCAUGCGUGGGAGAUUGAGUGUACCGUCAGAAUAAGCACCGGCUAACUCCGUGCCAGCAGCCGCGGUAAUACGGAGGGUGCAAGCGUUGUCCGGAUUUAUUGGGUUUAAAGGGUGCGUAGGCGGCCCUGUAAGUCAGUGGUGAAACCCUUGGGCUUAACCUAAGGAGUGCCAUUGAUACUGCAGGGCUUGGGUCAUCUUUGGGCGGGCGGAAUGGAUGGUGUAGCGGUGAAAUGCAUAGAUAUCAACCAGAACGCCGAUAGCGAAGGCAGCUCGCUGAGGAUGUACCGACGCUGAGGCACGAUAGCGUGGGGAUCAAACAG
rnacentral:rRNA from 1 species